UGGGGAAUAUUGGACAAUGGAGGAAACUCUGAUCCAGCCAUGCCGCGUGAGUGAUGAAGGCCUUCGGGUUGUAAAGCUCUUUAGACGGGGACAAUAAUGAUGGUACCCGUAGAAUAAGCUCCGGCUAACUCUGUGCCAGCAGCCGCGGUAAUACAGAGGGAGCUAGCGUUGUUCGGAAUUACUGGGCGUAAAGCGCGCGUAGGUGGCGUGGUAAGUUAGGAGUGAAAUCCUGGGGCUUAACCUCAGAAUUGCUCUUAAGACUGCUACGCUAGAGGUAGGCAGAGGAUGGUGGAAUUCUUAGUGUAGCGGUGAAAUGCGUAGAUAUUAAGAGGAACACCAGUGGCGAAAGCGGCCAUCUGGGCCUAUUCUGACACUAAAGUGCGAAAGCGUGGGGAGCAAA
rnacentral:rRNA from 1 species